UACGAACCGAGCGAACGUUGUUCGGAAUCACUGGGCUUAAAGGGCGCGUAGGCGGGCCGCCAAGUUCGAGGUGAAAUCCUCCGGCUCAACCGGAGAACUGCCUCGAAUACUGGAGGCCUCGAGGCGGGUAGGGGCGUGCGGAACUGUGGGUGGAGCGGUGAAAUGCGUUGAUAUCCACAGGAACUCCGGUGGCGAAGGCGGCACGCUGGACCAGAUCUGACGCUGAGGCGCGAAAGCCAGGGGAGCAAACGGG
rnacentral:rRNA from 1 species